UGCUCCCCCAUCAGUCUCGCCAGCUUUCACCAAUUCUCCCUUAUUGGGUUAAAAUUGCUGCAAUGAGGUUAAACAUUGCAGAAUCAUAGGAACUGUUUUUAAUCUGUCUCCAAGGUAACCAUAUCAUCCUUUAAAAUAACAUCCUCGCUUUUGUUUGCCUUUUGUUUCCCUUUUUUUAUUCUGCCUUCUCUGCUCGUCUGUGUGGAUAAUGCUGCCUCUUUACCUCCUCCUCUCUUGUGUUUUUUUUGCCUUGAGUGUAUUUGAGUCUCUCCCUCUCUCCCCGCCCAUGUCUUCCUGAGCUUUCUCUCUGCAUGCCUUUCUUUUCUCCUAAACUGUGUAUCCUUUUCUUUGUGGGUGCCUGCCCCUCUUAUUUCCCCAUUGCAUGGAUGCAGGUGCACGUUACUCUCCCUCAGGCUCAUGCCUUUCUUUUUCUUUCCCCCUGCUGUUUUGUGUCUCUUUAUCUUUGUCCAUCUGUCUAUCUUUCCCUCCCACCUUUUUAAAUGGUAUGUUUGAUUCCACUAUAACCAGAUAUCUCCCCUUUUAAAGCUCACAGGCUCUCAGAGCUGACUCCAUGCAGCCAGGAGGAGGUCCCUUGAUGCUCUCAGUAAAGAUCUCCAGCAAUUGCAGUCCUUUGUUUUAGUUUACAGCAAGGGGGAGCUGACAUUGCCUGAUGCGUUGGUGAUUAAAACAAAGCUGACUGUCACGGCUAGGUCCUGCAAACAAAGAACUUGCUCUGAAACCUGAUGACUCAUCCUUUAUAAAUCUGUCAGGAGAUGCUUGAUGAGGAGUGCUCUCGUGCUUAGUUGUAAGGAGUUUCAAUAUUGAUCAAAGCUGCUAUUACCAAACUGCCUUUUCAAGAUUUUUGUGCCAGACAGGAUCUCCACAGGUUUUCAGGACACGGAGUUGUACUAAUUGGCAAACAGAUGUGUUGGCCUUUGCCAGGAUGAUUAUCAGUGAAGGAGCAGAAGUUUUCACCUUUCCUUCUUUUCUGUGGCUGUGGUGGAGGAAGGUGGUUGUAAAGACCUGAUGCAUCAACGGCAGCAGACCAGUGGAUCCAGAUGUCCACACCUCAUGACCAUAGCGGCUGAAGCUUUAUUGAAGGCUUCAUCAUCGGUGGGUCUGAUCUGUUCCUCCUGGUGACAGUGUCAGCGGUGGCUGUAGUGGUGGUGGCGUGGUGGUUCCAGUUCAUUCCUCGCAGCUUCAGGCGGUGACUGACGUGGUGAUGGAUUGAGCGAUGGCUACAGCAUCAGCAGCUUGUUUAGUUGCGAACACUGAUGCUCUGUUCAGAUCAGUGAACAGUGAAUGUGAAAUAAUGAUGCUGCUGGACCUGCUGAGAUUCUCCAGUAUUCUCUGCAUUUUGUCUCAGCAUUUUGCUUUUAUCGCUGAAAACAAUAUCAACCUUGGCUCCAAUCAAAUGCUACCCCUAAAGGAAAGCUAAACUAUCCCAAGGAACUGCACCCCAACUAAGAGUCCAUAAUAUUAGUAGGAAUUAAGGAGAAAACUGGGGAGGGAGGAUUCUUGACUUCUCUUCAUGGAACAGUGGGGAUUUUCCUGCUGCACCACUUUCAUUGAUUGCUGGAUAUGAAAGGCAAGGAAUGUGCACCCUGUGAUUUCCCAUGGAUGGAUAAUAUAUCAAUUUCCCACUUGUUGGUCUUGCUUGGGCAGUGUCAAAGUAGAUGUCUCAGUUUUGGUCUUCGUAUCAAUCUUACCUUUGCAAACAUAAGCCCUGAGCAAGCGAUGUAAAUGCAUAAACAUGGCCCUUUAACUCACCUUAACCAACAUUAAAUCUGGCCACACAUCUAUCAAGGACUCAAUCUGACAGGCAAAAACACGUAUUUAAAUUUAUCUAAUUUUCCAAAUGUCAAUUGCCUUUCCGUUCUUAUCCUUCUUUUAUUAAUAGAUGUCAGCUAAUCCCCUGGUCUGACCUGUGGCUCUUAAUGUAUUUAAUUUCAAUUUAAUUCCGAACUUUUGGAAUCUCCAGUGAAACCGCCACACUGCGAGCAGAGAGAUUACAGCAUUUCAGGCAAAGGCUACAGACAGGCAAACUCAAGAGCAACUGAGAUCUUGACAGCAGGUUCCCAACUAAACUGCUGAGGAGCACAAAAAGCAUUAGUGGUCCAUUUUUAAAAAAAAUGUACCUGCUAUUAAGGCAGAUUUAUCAACAGAUCAGCCUGGCUGGCGUAGAUAUUUUCUGUCAAUACAAAUAUCUGCAAAAUAAACAAGACGUGUUGAGUGUCAGCCAAUUUUCUGCCUUAGUGCAAAAACAUAAGUGUGCCAUUAAUUAGACAGCUGUGCAAAGGAAGAGCUCCUGCCUCCGUAACUGGAAGAACACUUUCCCUGUAUCAUAAUAGUCACAGCUUCGCACCCAGCAUUAUCAGCCUCUUGCUGAGUGUACAGCCCCAACUGACUCAUCAAAUAUUGCCUUCCAAAGAGAGGUUCGGUCACAUAAAUAGCACCACCAGUUUAUGGAGCGAGAAACUGGGAGUGGAAGGUGGGAAUACAGAAUAGACUCAGAAAGCAAGAAAGUAGGAGAGAGAAAGAGCCAGAGAAAGAGAAGAGUCAUGUGGAUUUUAAAAAGGGAUUUCAAGCUGAUAAUUCUCAGGGGGACUUCUAGUUCCAUGAAGUCUGUGAUGCUGCCACUUACCAUGUUUUUGGUGGUCUGAAAGUUCCUGUUCUGGAACUUUGCUCAGCAAACACACUUGUCAGCAUUUUCUGCCAAGAACUGUACCCCCUGAAGCCACUGCUUCAGCAUGAUUUCAUCAAUCAUUCUCAAAUUAGAAGGUUCAUAACAGUACUCCUUAGAUUGGAACAAAGAUUCUCAUUUUUUUUGUCCCACAUUUUUUACUCUUUCUUCACCUUCAUACAUCAGGCGAAGUUCUGCCCUGUGCUCCCCAUCAUGUGUUCCACAUAAUCAUAGCUGAACAAUUCACAGAUAUUUUCCUUCAACUUUUUUUUUUCUGUGGAUAUUGUCUGCCAUGCCUUUUCCAAGAGUAUCAGUCUUAUCUCAAUUACAGUCUUCAUCCGUGGUUCCUCCUUUAUAUUGACCUCCUCUUGAAGGUCUGCUUUAAAAGUGGGCUCAGAACCACACACAAAUUGUCCCAUAUCACUCUGAGCCUAACUUUUAUUCCACUUAUCAGCCUUGCCUCUAAGACACAACCAUUUUGGGGUUUCUUUAAAACCCCCAUGUACUCCAAUCAAAGUAGUCCAGUUUCACAUUGAAUCUGUGUUCCUGAAUUGCUUAACUUUGCUAAGCUUAUCCCACAAUUAAAGAUGGGAUCAGCACUGGGUAGGGAAGGGCAGACGUAAUUUUCUAAGCAAGUGCACAAUUAUGCCCCAAAAGCAUUCUCGGGACCAAUGUGUGAUUCUGUUACCCUUUACGAAACAAGUACUAAAUACCAAGGUACAGGAGUUACUGCAUUGAGACUGAUUCCAUAGCAAGGAACAAACACUGUAUUGUUCUGGUUUGAUGAGUGUGAAGGGAGGUGGGCGAUCUUCAUUUCAUUUCAUCAGCGGUCUCUUCCAGGUCAAUGGCGACUGAAUUGGAAAGACUGAGAGCAGUAAAUGCAGUGACUCAGCUGACCACCUCUGAAAAUGAGCCUCCUCUGAUAAAAUUUUUUUUGAAGCUCACGCACAAGGUCACUGAAGAUGUUGCACACGUAAUAGAGCAGUUUCUCAGUGACACAUCGUGUGGUACAACUUGCCCACUGAUUGAAAUUAUUAACCAAAAAUUGACAUCACCUAGCUCCACGCACUUACAAAACUGAACACAUGACAAGCUAAAAUCAUUGGCUUUUCAUUUAAAAUCUAAGUUUGUUUAAAAGAAAUGUCAUGGAAACUAACUAGUCACAAGCUGAUGGUGAAUAUUUAGGGGAAAAUGAUUGUCUUUGACAACUUUUUGUUUACUCAUUUAUUCAGCUUUUUAUAUACUUAGCUAUAUAUUCUUCAGUAGCUAAUUAUUCACUCAGUGCUGCAGAGGAUUUUUGUCACUGUAAUAAUUUUAAGAAUUGAUUUCCUGCUUUGCUCUUCCAAAAGUAAAUAGGAAACAUAAACUCAGCUUUGGACACUUGGCUGAUAAAUGAUAACAUACCAUAUUUGGGUUUUACUUUUCGCCCCACAGUGAGUACACACAAUCCCAUGCCUUCGAUUGAAAAGCAGAAUACUGUGGAUGCUGAAAAUCUGAAAAUGAAAAAGAAAUCAGAUAAUGCUCAACAGUUCCUAUGAAAGGUCAUCACUAACUCUGAUUCUCUCUUCACAGAUGCUACCUGACCUGCUGAGUAUUUUCAAUAUCUUCUGUUUUUAUCACCUUGACUCAGACAAUUGAACCACAUUCUGUGAGGAUGUUGGUUUCUCCUUCCCUUGCACUUGCCUCACCGGUAUGUAAGCAUUAACACUUUAAUGCAGUACUGGGGAAGUUUAGCAUUAUCACUCCAGUGUCAGAUGCAAGAGCACAUCAUUAAUCCGGGGUGGGGUUGAUGUAAUGAUAAUGUCACUGGACUAAAUAUUUGAGGGCCCCAAGCUAAUGUCCCUUGGUGUGUGUUUGAAUCCUACUAUUGCAGAUGAAAUCUCAAUUCAGUAAAAGCUGGAAUUAAAGGCUAGCCUAAUGGUGACCACUGUCAAAUGUUGUAAAAAUCCAGUUGGUUCAUUGAUGUCCUUUAAGGAAGGAAAUCU